UGGGGUCAUAGAAGGCUAGAGCCCAUCCCAGCACCAGACAGGAAUCAAGCCUGCUUGGAGUGGUAGUCUUUAGCAUGGGUGGAGCCAAGCCAGUAAAACGAGGCCACCGUGAGACUAGACACGCGGCACAUGUGCCCAGGGGGUUUACGACAAACUGAACAGGACACCGAGUACCAACACUCUUCUCCUGAUCGGCUUCAUUUCUACUGCAGCUCCAGUACAGUGUUGUGAACAUCAAGGAUGUAAUCCAGUAGCAGUGGUGGACUUGAGACAGACAGACGGCAGCUCUAGAAAGGAUGUCAGACCAAUCACCUACAGUAAGAGCAGUAAUUACUUUUACUUCCAGCAAUAAUUAAAAAACGAGAAUCCACUGCAGUUCAGCAACUUUUUGU